rnacentral:lncRNA from 1 species
CUCUGCCCAGCAGGAGGCGCUCGCGUCUUCCUUUGUUGAAAUUGAUCUCUGCGCUUGAACAGUUAGAUCUGUGACUUGCCACUCAGAGCCUACAUAGCGGACGCCAGGAAUCAUGUUUACUGUCCUGUCUCCCUUUUUGACAGGCACACAUUUUAUUUUUUAAAUACAUGAAGCGCGCCGUGCUUUGUAAGCGCUGACUGAAUGUGCCUAUUUUCACACCCUCUCCUGACCCUGGGCUGGAACGUGGGCGAGUGCAGGAUGGUGGCCAGGGGCUUGGCUCUUGGUCAGUAUGUGCCUCAUCUAUCUCGUCUGUAAAAUGGACAGACGAGGUAACACGUGUGCCUACGUCAGAGCAUUGUUGGAAGGAUUAGAGGAGUCAAGAUAUGGAAGGCCCACAGAAUGGUUGGGGAGAAAAGCCAGCUUCUGGAGGCAGGGGAAAGGGUGGGGAGUGGCUGGGGAAGCAGGGCCUGUACCCUGGGUUUCUGCAUUGGGGUUACUCCUUUGCUGCUGGGAGUGAUAGCAGGGUGAUGAGAGCCACCCUGGGCCUGCGCUCCUCCUGGUCAUGCUGUUGUCCUGGGUCCCAGGGUGCCUGGGAAAGGGCACACAGCUUUACUGAUGGGUGGCCAGUGGGGAGUGCCCCCAUCGGGCAUUCCACCAGUCGGCCCCGAUGGUCCUGGCCUCCUCAUGUUUAUCUGGCCCAGGGACACCAAGGCUCAGAGAGGUAAACUUGCCCGAGGUCACACAGCUAGGAGGGGGAGCUGAGUCAUCACCCAGGUUUGUCUGCCCCAGGGCUGGAGCUCUGUUUUCAGGCCACCUGACCAGCUGAGGAGAUCGUCAGAAAGGCUGGGACACCAACGGAUGACGCACAAAUGGAGGAAUUUUCAGGCACGGUCAAAGCUAAUGGGAGGGAAAAUACUGAAGUGUAAUAUUCCAGAGUUCUCUCUUGUCUGCUCUGACUCCUGCCAGCUGCCCUGCACCUAGAGGGACAGGAGGCUCUUCUCCGGGGCAUUGCAUGGCCGGGAGCCAAAUGAGCUGGCACCAGAACCUGGAACCCUCUCUUUGGGUCUGGAUUGGGACCCCUUUCCAGUACCAUUUUUUCUAGUGAACCACGAAGGGACGAUACCAGAAAACACCCUCAACCCAAAGGAAAUAGACUACAGCCCCAAUUGGCUGACUUUGGCUAUAGAAAAAAGAAAGGAACGAAAAGAGACAGUUUUUUUUGGAAAGCUAAGUCUUCCCUUUAUCGAGUCAAGAAACCCCCCCUUCUUGAGCUAUUUACAGCUUUUAACAAUUGAGUAAAGUACGCUCCGGACACAAUUGGAGAAACUGGUUAUUUAACAAGGGUUUGACUCGAGUGGCAUGCUUUCAAAUAUAAACAGACUUCUUUAAGGAAUUAAAGUUGACUAAUAGAGCCAAUAAAAGCCUCUUGGAAAAA